rnacentral:rRNA from 1 species
UGGGGAAUAUUGGGCAAUGGGCGCAAGCCUGACCCAGCGACGCCGCGUGGGUGAUGAAGGCCUUCGGGUCGUAAAGCCCUGUCGGGUGGAAAGAACGGUGGGGGGGCGACGAGCCUCUUCAUGUGACGGUACCACCGAAGGAAGCACCGGCCAAUUCCGUGCCAGCAGCCGCGGUAAGACGGAAGGUGCGAGCGUUGCUCGGAAUCAUUGGGCGUAAAGGGUGCGUAGGCGGCGCGGUCAGUCUGGUGUGAAAGCCCCGGGCUCAGCCCGGGAAGGGCGCUAGAAACUGCCGCGCUGGAGUGCCGGAGGGGAGAGUGGAAUUCCUGGUGUAGCGGUGAAAUGCGUAGAGAUCAGGAGGAAUACCGGUGGCGAAAGCGACUCUCUGGACGGCAACUGACGCUGAGGCACGAAAGCGUGGGGAGCAAACAG